GAUGAACGCUGGCGGCGUGCCUAAUACAUGCAAGUCGAGCGAACAGACGAGGAGCUUGCUCCUCUGACGUUAGCGGCGGACGGGUGAGUAACACGUGGAUAACCUACCUAUAAGACUGGGAUAACUUCGGGAAACCGGAGCUAAUACCGGAUAAUAUAUUGAACCGCAUGGUUCAAUAGUGAAAGACGGUUUUGCUGUCACUUAUAGAUGGAUCCGCGCCGCAUUAGCUAGUUGGGAAGGUAACGGCUUACCAAGGCGACGAGGCGUAGCCGACCUGAGAGGGUGAUCGGCCACACUGGAACUGAGACACGGUCCAGACUCCUACGGGAGGCAGCAGUAGGGAAUCUUCCGCAAUGGGCGAAAGCCUGACGGAGCAACGCCGCGUGAGUGAUGAAGGUCUUCGGAUCGUAAAACUCUGUUAUUAGGGAAGAACAAAUGUGUAAGUAACUAUGCACGUCUUGACGGUACCUAAUCAGAAAGCCACGGCUAACUACGUG
rnacentral:rRNA from 1 species